GCUUGCUUUGGCAGCAUAUACUAAAACUGGAAUGGUACUGAGAAGACUAGCUAUGCUCCCCUGCACAAGGAUGACACGCAAAUUCGUGAAGCGUUCCAUAUUUUG